rnacentral:rRNA from 1 species
GUGCCAGCAGCCGCGGUAAUACGUAGGGUGCGAGCGUUGUCCGGAAUUACUGGGCGUAAAGAGCUCGUAGGUGGUUUGUCGCGUUGUCCGUGAAAACUCACAGCUCAACUGUGGGCGUGCGGGCGAUACGGGCAGACUGGAGUGAUGUAGGGGAGACUGGAAUUCCUGGUGUAGCGGUGAAAUGCGCAGAUAUCAGGGGGAACACCCGUGGCGAAAGCGGCUCUCUGGGACGGUACUGACGCUGAGACGCGAAAGCGUGGGGAGCAAACAGGAUUAGAAACCCGCGUAGUCC